rnacentral:rRNA from 1 species
UGCAGUCGAGCGGUAACAGAUCCAGCUUGCUGGAUGCUGACGAGCGGCGGACGGGUGAGUAAUGCAUAGGAAUCUGCCCGAUAGUGGGGGAUAACCUGGGGAAACCCAGGCUAAUACCGCAUACGUCCUACGGGAGAAAGGGGGCUCCGGCUCCCGCUAUGGGAUGAGCCUAUGUCGGAUUAGCUAGUUGGUGAGGUAACGGCUCACCAAGGCCACGAUCCGUAGCUGGUCUGAGAGGAUGAUCAGCCACAUCGGGACUGAGACACGGCCCGAACUCCUACGGGAGGCAGCAGUGGGGAAUAUUGGACAAUGGGGGAAACCCUGAUCCAGCCAUGCCGCGUGUGUGAAGAAGGCCCUCGGGUUGUAAAGCACUUUCAGCGAGGAAGAACGCCUAGCGGUUAAUACCCGCUAGGAAAGACAUCACUCGCAGAAGAAGCACCGGCUAACUCCGUGCCAGCAGCCGCGGUAAUACGGAGGGUGCAAGCGUUAAUCGGAAUUACUGGGCGUAAAGCGCGCGUAGGUGGCUUGAUAAGCCGGUUGUGAAAGCCCCGGGCUCAACCUGGGAACGGCAUCCGGAACUGUCAAGCUAGAGUGCAGGAGAGGAAGGUAGAAUUCCCGGUGUAGCGGUGAAAUGCGUAGAGAUCGGGAGGAAUACCAGUGGCGAAGGCGGCCUUCUGGACUGACACUGACACUGAGGUGCGAAAGCGUGGGUAGCAAACAGGAUUAGAUACCCUGGUAGUCCACGCCGUAAACGAUGUCGACCAGCCGUUGGGUGCCUAGCGCACUUUGUGGCGAAGUUAACGCGAUAAGUCGACCGCCUGGGGAGUACGGCCGCAAGGUUAAAACUCAAAUGAAUUGACGGGGGCCCGCACAAGCGGUGGAGCAUGUGG